rnacentral:rRNA from 1 species
CAGCAGCCACGGUAAUACGUAGGGUGCGAGCGUUAAUCGGAAUUACUGGGCGUAAAGCGUGCGCAGGCGGUUAUAUAAGACAGAUGUGAAAUCCCCGGGCUCAACCUGGGACCUGCAUUUGUGACUGUAUAGCUAGAGUACGGUAGAGGGGGAUGGAAUUCCGCGUGUAGCAGUGAAAUGCGUAGAUAUGCGGAGGAACACCGAUGGCGAAGGCAAUCCCCUGGACCUGUACUGACGCUCAUGCACGAAAGCGUGGGGAGCAAACAGGAUUAGAUACCCGUGUAGUCCCUGUCUCUUAUAC